GACAACACAUCUCAACAAACUCUCCAGCUGUGAGAAACUUUACUGAAGCAGUGAACACUUGAAGUGAUUCCAGUGCAGUCAUGCUGAAGGUCGCUCUUGUUCUCGGAUGCCUCCUGAGCCUCAUUGUGGCUCAACCUGAGGAGCACCUGAGGUUCGCCCGCUCCAGUGGCUCCAACUCGAAUGAGGGCCUAUUUACAAAUUCACUGGGCAACCAACUGAUGUUUCAGUCCCUUCUCAACCUAAUACGCAACCGAUUUACCAC